rnacentral:rRNA from 1 species
CGCUGGCGGCAUGCCUCAUACAUGCAAGUCGAACGAGGUCUUCGGACCUAGUGGCGCACGGGUGAGUAACAUGUGGGAAUCUACCUGAAGGUUCGGAAUAACUGCGGGAAACUGUAGCUAAUACCGGAUGUGUCUGCAAAGAGAAAGAUUUAUCGCCUUCAGAUGAGCCCGCACUAGAUUAGCUAGUUGGUGAGGUAAUUGCUCCACCAAGGCUACGAUCUAUAGCUGAUUUGAGAGGAUGAUCAGCCACACUGGGACUGAGACACGGCCCAGACUCCUACGGGAGGCAGCAGUAGGGAAUAUUGGACAAUGGGGGAAACCCUGAUCCAGCAAUGCCGCGUGAGUGAAGAAGGCCUUCGGGUUGUAAAACUCUUUCAUCAAUGAUGAUAAUGACAUUAGUUGAAGAAGAAGCCCCGGCUAACUUCGUGCCAGCAGCCGCGGUAAUACGAAGGGGGCUAGCGUUGUUCGGAAUCACUGGGCGUAAAGCGUAUGUAGGCGGAUCAAAAAGUUAGAUGUGAAAUCCCUGGGCUCAACCCAGGAACUGCAUUUAAAACUAGUGAUCUAGAAUUUGGUAGGGGUUAGUAGAAUUUCCAGUGUAGAGGUGAAAUUCGUAGAUAUUGGAAAGAAUACCAGUGGCGAAGGCGACUAACUGGGCCAUUUUUGACGCUGAGAUACGAAAGCGUGGGUAGCAAACAGGAUUAGAUACCCUGGUAGUCCACGCAGUAAACGAUGAGUGCUAGUCGCUGGGACAAUAGUUUCAGUGUCGAAGCUAACGCAUUAAGCACUCCGCCUGGGAAGUACGGU